rnacentral:rRNA from 1 species
GACGAACGCUGGCGGCGUGCUUAACACAUGCAAGUCGAACGCUGAAGCACCAGCUUGCUGGUGUGGAUGAGUGGCGAACGGGUGAGUAAUACGUGAGUAACCUGCCCUUGACUCUGGGAUAAGCCCGGGAAACUGGGUCUAAUACUGGAUGCUACAUGUCACCGCAUGGUGGUGUGUGGAAAGGGUUUACUGGUCUUGGAUGGGCUCACGGCCUAUCAGCUUGUUGGUGAGGUAAUGGCUCACCAAGGCGCCGACGGGUAGCCGGCCUGAGAGGGUGACCGGCCACACUGGGACUGAGACAAGGCCCAGAAUCCUACGGGAGGCAGCAGUGGGGAAUAUUGCACAAUGGGCGAAAGCCUGAUGCAGCGACGCCGCGUGAGGGAUGACGGCCUUCGGGUUGUAAACCUCUUUCAGCAGGGAAGAAGCCACAAGUGACGGUACCUGCAGAAGAAGCGCCGGCUAACUACGUG